rnacentral:rRNA from 4 species
GUGCCUUCGGGAACUGUGAGACAGGUGCUGCAUGGCUGUCGUCAGCUCGUGUUGUGAAAUGUUGGGUUAAGUCCCGCAACGAGCGCAACCCUUAUCCUUUGUUGCCAGCGGUCCGGCCGGGAACUCAAAGGAGACUGCCAGUGAUAAACUGGAGGAAGGUGGGGAUGACGUCAAGUCAUCAUGGCCCUUACGACCAGGGCUACACACGUGCUACAAUGGCGCAUACAAAGAGAAGCGACCUCGC